GUGGGGAAUCUUCCGCAAUGGACGAAAGUCUGACGGAGCAACGCCGCGUGAGUGAUGAAGGUCUUCGGAUUGUAAAGCUCUGUUAAUCGGGACGAAAGAGCCUAGUGUGAAUAAUGCUAGGAAGUGACGGUACCGGAAUAGAAAGCCACGGCUAACUACGUGCCAGCAGCCGCGGUAAUACGUAGGUGGCAAGUGUUGUCCGGAAUUAUUGGGCGUAAAGCGCGCGCAGGCGGAUCUGCCAGUCUGUCUUAAAAGUUCGGGGCUUAACCCCGUGAUGGGAUGGAAACUACAGAUCUAGAGUAUCGGAGAGGAAAGUGGAAUUCCUAGUGUAGCGGUGAAAUGCGUAGAUAUUAGGAAGAACACCAGUGGCGAAGGCGACUUUCUGGACGAAAACUGACGCUGAGGCGCGAAAGCCAGGGGAGCGAACGGGAUUAGAUACCCGUGUAGUCC
rnacentral:rRNA from 1 species